CAGACAUUUGUGAAGCUAUAUGGCAAUACAUAGGAGUGAAAGUGCUGGGAAAUAAGGUAAAUGUGUUUAACUUUACAAGAAAUCAUCAAGUUUCCUAAAGUAACUAUAUCAUUUUUCCUUCCCACAAGUAAUGAAUAAAAACUACUUUGUCCACAUUCUAAUUAACACUUAAUAUUGUCAGUUUUUUGUUUUCAUUUGUUUUGUAGCCAUUUUAUUUUAUUUUAUUUUUUGGUAUAUAUUUUAUUGCACUUUAGGUUCUGGGGUACAUGUGCAGAACAUGCAGGAUUGUUGCAUAGUUACAUACAUGGCAAUGUGGUUUGCUGCCUCCAUUCCCCUGUCACCUAUAUCUGACAUUUCUUCCCAUGUUAUCCUUCUCCAACCUCCCUAACCUCUACUGUCCCUCUCUAUUUCCCCCCAACAGACCCCAGUGUGUGAGGCUCACCUCCCUGUGUCCACGUGGUCUCAUUGUUCAACACCUGCCUUUGAGGGGAGAAAAAUGCCAGUCUUUAAUGAACUCGGAGCUAAAGUAAAUUAGCUGUUUUCUUCAGGUAAGAUGGAUGAUGCUAUCAACAUUAUUAAGUCACUAGGUCUGAAUUUCUCUGUAUGUAAAUCCAAUGUAAUAAGUGCUAUUAAUAUACUUG
rnacentral:lncRNA from 13 species